rnacentral:rRNA from 1 species
UACGGGGGGGGCAAGCGUUGUUCGGAAUUACUGGGCGUAAAGGGCUCGUAGGCGGUUUGUCGCGUCGGGAGUGAAAACACGGGGCUUAACCCCGUGCCUGCUUCCGAUACGGGCAGACUAGAGGUAUGCAGGGGAGAACGGAAUUCCUGGUGUAGCGGUGAAAUGCGCAGAUAUCAGGAGGAACACCGGUGGCGAAGGCGGUUCUCUGGGCAUUACCUGACGCUGAGGAGCGAAAGUGUGGGGAGCGAACAGG